GCCCGGAUGGUCUAGAGGUAUGAUUCUCGCUUAGGGUUCCAAACUUCCUGAGUAUUGAUAUGCGAGAGGUCCCAGGUUCGAUCCCUGGUUCGGGCC